GACGUAGGGGGCAAGCGUUAUUCGGAAUUAUUGGGCGUAAAGCGCUUGUAGGCGGCUUGUUAAGUUCCGUGUGAAAUCCCUCGGCUUAACCGAGGAACUGCCGUCCAAACUGCUUUGCUUGAGGCCGGGAGAGGCGAGUGGAAUUCCCAGUGUAGCGGUGAAAUGCGUAGAUAUUGGGAGGAACACCAGUGGCGAAGGCGGCUCGCUGGACCGGUUCUGACGCUGAUGCGCGAAAGCGUGGGGAGCAAACGGG
rnacentral:rRNA from 1 species